UUGAACGCUGGCGGCAUGCUUUACACAUGCAAGUCGAACGGUAACAGGCCUUCGGGUGCUGACGAGUGGCGAACGGGUGAGUAAUGCGUCGGAACGUACCGAGUAAUGGGGGAUAACGCAGCGAAAGCUGUGCUAAUACCGCAUACGCCCCGAGGGGGAAAGCAGGGGAUCGCAAGACCUUGCGUUAUUCGAGCGGCCGACGUCUGAUUAGCUGGUUGGUGGGGUAAAGGCCUACCAAGGCGACGAUCAGUAGCGGGUCUGAGAGGAUGACCCGCCACACUGGGACUGAGACACGGCCCAGACUCCUACGGGAGGCAGCAGUGGGGAAUUUUGGACAAUGGGGGCAAGCCUGAUCCAGCCAUUCCGCGUGAGUGAAGAAGGCCUUCGGGUUGUAAAGCUCUUUCAGCUGGAACGAAACGGUACGCGCUAACAUCGCGGGCUAAUGACGGUACCGGCAGAAGAAGCACCGGCUAACUACGU
rnacentral:rRNA from 1 species